AUGAGUGAGAACCUUUCAAUUAUGAAUUGGAAUGUGCGUGGGCUUAAUGAUCGAGCAAGACGAGCGGCUGUUCGAGCGCUGCUUGAUCGCGUAUCUUGUUCGAUCAUAUGCAUUCAGGAAUCAAAGCUUUCCAGCUUCUCAGAUUCGGACCGAACAAAGAUCGUUGGGCCCCGCUUCGACCAAAGCGUGUCCCUCAAUGCUGCCGGCACCCGUGGAGGUAUCCUACUGUGCUGGCGCUCG
rnacentral:rRNA from 1 species